AAUGAACGCUGGCGGCGCGCCUAAUACAUGCAAGUCGAGCGAGAAGACGUAGCAAUACGUUUGUAAAGCGGCGAACGGGUGAGGAAUACAUGGGUAACCUACCCUAGAGUGGGGAAUAACUAGCCGAAAGGUUAGCUAAUACCGCGUACGCUCCUUGGACUUCGGUUCAGGGAGGAAAGCGAUACCGUGGGUAUCGCGCUCUUGGAUGGGCUCAUGUCCUAUCAGCUUGUUGGUGAGGUAACGGCUCACCAAGGCUUCGACGGGUAGCUGGUCUGAGAGGACGAUCAGCCACACUGGCACUGCGACACGGGCCAGACUCCUACGGGAGGCAGCAGUAAGGAAUAUUGCGCAAUGGGCGAAAGCCUGACGCAGCGACGCCGCGUGGGGGAUGGAAGGUCUUCGG
rnacentral:rRNA from 1 species